UUGGAGGGCAAGUCUGGUGCCAGCAGCCGCGGUAAUUCCAGCUCCAAUAGCGUAUAUUAAAGUUGUUGCAGUUAAAAAGCUCGUAGUUGAAUUUCGGGAUCAGUACGCCGGUCGUGCCUUCGGUAUGCACUGGUGUCACUGGUUUCUCCCUUCUGAAGAACCAUCAUGCCAUUCAGUUGGUGUGGCGGGGAAUCAGGACUGUUACUUUGAAAAAAUUAGAGUGUUUAAAGCAGGCUCGCGCUUGAAUACAUUAGCAUGGAAUAAUGAAAUAGGACGUUUGACCCUAUUUUGUUGGUUUCUAGGAUCGACGUAAUGAUUAAUAGGGAUAGUUGGGGGCAUUAGUAUUCAAUUGUCAGAGGUGAAAUUCUUGGAUUUAUUGAAGACUAACUACUGCGAAAGCAUUUGCCAAGGAUGUUUUCAUUAAUCAGGAACGAAAGUUAGGGGAUCGAAGACGAUCACAUACCGUCGUACUCUUAACCAUAAACUAUGCCGACUAGGGAUCGGAUGAUGUUAAUUUUUUAAUGACUCAUUCUGCGCCCUACCGGAAAC
rnacentral:rRNA from 1 species